rnacentral:rRNA from 1 species
UGCGGAAGGAUCAUUAUCGAUGGCCGCGCCGUGAGCGCCCUGGUGCAGGAUCGGCCGGCCACUGACCACACCCUUACUUUACGAGCACCUUUCGUUCUCCUUCGGCGGGGCAACCCGCCGCUGGAACCUCAUCAAACCUUUUUUUGCAUCUAGCAUUACCUGUUCUGAUAAAAAACAAUCGUAACAACUUUCAACAAUGGAUCUCUUGGCUCUGGCAUCGAUGAAGAACGCAGCGAAAUGCGAUAAGUAGUGUGAAUUGCAGAAUUCAGUGAAUCAUCGAAUCUUUGAACGCACAUUGCGCCCCUUGGUAUUCCAUGGGGCAUGCCUGUUCGAGCGUCAUCUACACCCUCAAGCUCUGCUUGGUGUUGGGCGUCUGUCCCGCCUCUGCGCGCGGACUCGCCCCAAAGGCAUUGGCAGCGGUCCACGGCCCCUCUCGCGCAGCACAUUGCGCUUCUCGAGGCGGCCCGGCCCGCAUCCACGAAGCCCACAUUACCGUCUUUGACCUCGGAUCAGGUAGGGAUACCCGCUGAACUUAAGCAUAUCAAUAAGCGGAGGAAAAGAAACCAACAGGGAUUGCCCUAGUAACGGCGAGUGAAGCGGCAACAGCUCAAAUUUGAAAUCUGGCUCCUUUGGGGUCCGAGUUGUAAUUUGCAGAGGGUGCUUUGGCAUCGGCGGCGGUCUAAGUUCCUUGGAACAGGACAUCGCAGAGGGUGAGAAUCCCGUACGUGGGCGCCUGCCUUUGCCGUGUAAAGCCCCUUCGACGAGUCGAGUUGUUUGGGAAUGCAGCUCUAAAUGGGAGGUAAAUUUCUUCUAAAGCUAAAUACCGGCCAGAGACCGAUAGCGCACAAGUAGAGUGAUCGAAAGAUGAAAAGUACUUUGGAAAGAGAGUCAAAUAGCACGUGAAAUUGUUGAAAGGGAAGCGCUUGCAGCCAGACUUGCCCGCAGUUGCUCACCCAGGCUCCGGCCUGGGGCACUCUUCUGCGGGCAGGCCAGCAUCAGUUUGGGCGGUUGGAUAAAGGCCUCUGUCACGUAUCUCCCUUCGGGGUGACCUUAUAGGGGAGGCGCAAUGCAACCAGCCCGGACGAGGUCCGCGCAUCU